CCUACGGGUGGCUGCAGUCGAGAAUCAUUCACAAUGGGGGAAACCCUGAUGGUGCGACGCCGCGUGGGGGAAUGAAGGUCUUCGGAUUGUAAACCCCUGUCAUGCGGGAGCAAAUUAAAAAGAUAGUACCACAAGAGGAAGAGACGGCUAACUCUGUGCCAGCAGCCGCGGUAAUACAGAGGUCUCAAGCGGUGUUCGGAAUCACUGGGCGUAAAGCGUGCGUAGGAUGUUUCGUAAGUCGUGUGUGAAAGGCGCGGGCUCAACCCGCGGACGGCACAUGAUACUGCGAGACUAGAGUAAGGGAGGGGGAACCGGAAUGCUCGGUGUAGCAGUGAAAUGCGUAGAUAUCGAGAGGAACACUCGUGGCGAAGGCGGGUUCCUGGACAUUAACUGACGCUGAGGCACGAAGGCCAGGGGAGCGAAAGGGAUUAGAUACCCUGGUAGUC
rnacentral:rRNA from 1 species